rnacentral:rRNA from 1 species
UACCAGCACCCCGAGUGGUCGGGACGUUUAUUGGGCCUAAAGCAUCCGUAGCCGGUUCUGCAAGUCUUCCGUUAAAUCCACCUGCUUAACAGAUGGGCCGCGGAAGAUACUAUAGAGCUAGGAGGCGGGAGAGGCAAGCGGUACUCGAUGGGUAGGGGUAAAAUCCGUUGAUCCAUUGAAGACCACCAGUGGCGAAGGCGGCUUGCCAGAACGCGCUCGACGGUGAGGGAUGAAGCUGGGGGAGCAAGCCGG